AUAUUCUAGGAUUCUGUGAUAACUUGGAGGAAGUUUUCUGUUGUUUGUUUUAGGUUAUCUUUUCAAAUUAUAGUCUCCUUUUAAAGAGACGUGUAUCCUUUGUAUAAUUCCAAAAGCACUUACAAAUACUGCAUCAGGCCA